AUCUCCCGUCACGGCAUCUGGCAGCUGCCGACGACGUACGUGCCUGAUCACGCCUGGCAUAAAAUGCCAAACGCCGCGUGAGAAGCGAGUGUAUGCUCUCUCGCUAAACAGGUUCCAAAUGGAAUUGAACCUUGAACCUUUCAGAGGUUGGAUGGAGGGGAUAUAGUCUGGUGGAUUGUAAAUCUGACAAGUAAUGGCUCAUCCCGGCCCCAGCCGCAUCCCAUCACAGCCCCCCUCCACCCGCCAUCCCCGCCUCACCCUACCCCGCUGCGUCUCACCGGGAAUAAGGGUGUAAAUUGCGAUGCCCCAGCAAAGGAGGAAUUGAGUCAGAAGGCACUUUAACUGAUGCGGCAGUAAAAACACACAAAAAUAAUAAUAAUAAAAAAAAGGGCGGUAAGACUGGAGAGGAGGGAGGAGAUGAGGCCAAGCCGGUUUUGUGAUGCAGUUUUGUCACCAUUUCGUCUGAAUACAUUUGGUGAUUUACCCAAAAAAAUUACAUUACGGUUACAUGUUUUUUUUAUGGUUUUCCUUUGCUGCCUAAGCCCUAAAAUCUCUGACGUAAUCAAAACCAGUGUAAUGUUUAUCAGCAUUUGCGGUAUUACACCGCCAGUGAAGCAAUGCUGUAUCAGAAAGAGUUGGAAGUCGAUCCUACAACUGUCGAAGAAAUGUGUUGGACGAUAUUGAGAAUUUUCAAACAGUCAACUUCCGUCGAGACCAAUAGGGGCAAUGACCCACCAGAUCCAGCAGAUGAAAAAAAUAGGGUUUUCCUGGCUCAAACUGAAGCAGAGGUAGUACGAUUGUGCUACAAAAAAGGACAAACUCCGACUGCAACGGACAAUCAAAACUGCUGAAAGGAUUGUCGGUAACCCCCUACACACCCUUGAGGACUUGCACGCUGCCAGAACUAAGACAAGAGUGUCAAAAUCCUCUCUGACCCUCCGCAUCCCGAUCACCAGCUCUUCCAGCUCCUUC